UAUCUCUGUAGAGUCUGCAUAUCAAUAAGCGGAGGAAAAGGAACUAACAAGGAUUCCCUUAGUAACGGCGAGUGAAGCGGGAAGAGCUCAAAUUUGAAAUCUUCAAGGUUCUACCUUGACGAAUUGUAGUUUAAAGAAGUGUUUUCUGUUAGAUGAGUAGCAAAAGUUCCUUGGAAUGGGACAUCAUAGAGGGUGAGAAUCCCGUAUUUGGUUAUUCAUUCUAGCUUUGUGAUACACUUUCAAAGAGUCGGAUUGUUUGGGAAUGCAGUCCAAAAUGGGUGGUAAAUUUCAUCUAAAGCUAAGUAUUGGCGAGAGACCGAUAGCGAACAAGUACCGUGAGGGAAAGAUGAAAAGAACUUUGAAAAGAGAGUUAAACAGUACGUGAAAUUGUCAAAAGGGAAGCGUUUGACACCAGUGUUGUUUUUCCGAAAAUCAAUUACGAAUGGCUUGAUUUUGUGUUGUAUUGACCUUAUCAGCUUUCUGCACUUUUUUCGAGUCUUUCUUAAUGCACUUUUCGGUUAACAAGUCAACAUCAAUUUCUUUUGUUGUAAAAGAGUAUUCGGAAGGUGGCUUUCUUUUCGGAGAAAGUGUUUAUAGCCCUAUACUUCUACAAUCGGAGAGAUUGAGGUCUGCAGCGUAGAUCCUUCGGGGUUAGAUACACUUGUGCUAAGUUGUAGCUUUUCAUAGACAACUUGUUGACUAUGUUUAGUCAUGCGGCUUACUCGCUUGUGCUAUUUUACCUACGCUUAGGAUGUUGACUGAUAUGUAGUCGUA
rnacentral:rRNA from 1 species